AGGAGGCGGAGGUUGUGGAGAGCCGAGAUUGCACCAUUGCACUCCAGCCUGGGUAACAAGAGCGAAACUCCGUCUCAAAAAAAAAAAAAAAAAAAGCAUUCUACAUUCUAGAUGCUGUAAUUUUUUACUUUUCACAUUCAGGUCUACAAUCCAUAUGGAAAUGCCGAUUUCGUAUGGUAUGAGACUGGAAUCACGAUUCAUUAUUUUCCUAUGUGGAUAUGCAAUAGAUUGAUCAUAAUUUGAUAACAUGAUUUCUCCAUCAUAUCAUGGUGUCUCUUUUGUGGUAAAUCAGCUGAGAGGGUCAGCAUGGCCCUGGAAGCAGAGGAGGAGGAGGAGGCAAUUUCUAGCCCAGCAGCAGUGGUGGCAGAAGGAUCACCUGUCUGUGGAGACGCUGAAAUGAUGCAAUUACAGGACCAGCAUAGGGUACCACAGCAUGAUGCAUGCUCUAUGAUGCCAGCAAGAGGAAGCCUGACCCUCUGACUCUAGGAAUGCAUAACAGCCUGCUUUGUGAUCCCAGAAAGCUCAUCGCUG
rnacentral:lncRNA from 13 species